AGCGCUCUAUCAUCGUCCGUCAUA
rnacentral:siRNA from 1 species